rnacentral:lncRNA from 1 species
AUUGAUAAGCCUCUCCAUUGUUUGGUUGAAGACAGAACCCGAGAAGGAAGAGAUUUCAGCAGGUGGCACCGUAACUUGAUGGAAUUUGAGUGGAUGUUGUUGGCGGCAUAGAAGGAAUGAGGUGAUCCUAGCUUCAGGCAACCUCCAUUGUUGGAAGAAAGUUAAGAGGUGGGAGAGAGUUGAUGGAAAAGGUGACUUUGGUAAACAUUUGCUUGACAGAGAUUAAUUUCAGAAUGAAGAAAUUUCUCAUAUAUUCCAAAGUGUUUUACAAGUGAGGCUUUCAUGAAUUUAUAGAUGCAUUCAUGAAGCUAGGCAAAAAAUAAAUGUGAU